CUAGAAGAAAAUGAAUGAGUUGGUGAUC
rnacentral:piRNA from 1 species